rnacentral:rRNA from 1 species
AUUGAACGCUGGCGGCAUGCUUUACACAUGCAAGUCGAACGGUAACAGGGUGCUUGCACCGCUGACGAGUGGCGAACGGGUGAGUAAUGCGUCGGAACGUGCCGAGUAGUGGGGGAUAACGCAGCGAAAGUUGUGCUAAUACCGCAUACGUACUGAGGUAGAAAGUGGGGGACCUUCGGGCCUCACGCUAUUCGAGCGGCCGACGUCUGAUUAGCUAGUAGGUGAGGUAAAGGCUCACCUAGGCGACGAUCAGUAGCGGGUCUGAGAGGAUGAUCCGCCACACGGGGACUGAGACACGGCCCAGACUCCUACGGGAGGCAGCAGUGGGGAAUUUUGGACAAUGGGCGAAAGCCUGACGCAGCGACGCCGCGUGAGGGAAGAAGGCCUUCGGGUUGUAAACCUCUUUCAGGUGGGACGAAGCCACUCGGGUGAAUAGCCCAGAGGGUGACGGUACCUCCAGAAGAAGCCCCGGCUAACUACGUGCCAGCCGCCGCGGUAA